rnacentral:rRNA from 1 species
CGAAAGCAUGAUGCAGAGCAAAUCCCCAAAAAUUAGUCUCAGUUCAGAUUGCAGGCUGAAACUCGCCUGCAUGAAGUCGGAAUUGCUAGUAAUCGCAGAUCAGCAUGCUGCGGUGAAUACGUUCCCGGGCCUUGUACACACCGCCCGUCAAGCCAUGGAAGCCGGGAGUGCCUGAAGUACGCGACCGCAAGGAGCGUCCUAAGGUAAAACCGGUGACUGGGGCUAAGUCGUAACAAGGUAGC